GGCAGGGGUUGGGUUUAGAAUGCCGUGCCUCUAAGGCCGUUGGGGGUGGGUGAGUGGGCGGCUGGUGUUCAUCUCGCUUCGCUCACUGUCACAAGACCAGAGAACAGCGAGUGGAUGACGGCGCAAGUGAUGCAAGAAUAACCAGCUUUGAUUGCAGAGGAACAUGUAGAAGGUGGAGCGACCUCAACGCAUUCCGAUCCUGUCUCUAUUGUGAGUGCUCAUACUUGAAGGACUGCUCCUCCUGGAUAGACCCAUCUACCAGCUUUGCUUGGACCAACUCAUUACUGGAAAUGCCUUCCAUCAGAAAGUGUGAUUCUCCUCUGACCUUCUUAUGGAUUGCCACCACCCUAUGGAACUAUCUGUUUGAGGAAGCGCAAAGGGCAUCUUUUCUAGUUCGUUUUCGCAAUCAGUGUAAAGUGUUUUUGUUUCAGAGAGCUUUAUUGGUAGAGUUGCAAAUGAGAUUUAGUUUAUUCUUGUAGAGACUUGCUUCUGGCAGAUUCUUUUGUUAUACACUUGUUUGAUUAGCUGUAAUUGUUUUAAAAUGAUUUUAUUAGAUUUUUAUACACUUUACUUUUGUUCGUUAAGCCACUUACAUUACUCAGAGAAGCAGGAUAUUUAGAAAAAUAAUUUUGAAGGGGAGGUUAGCAUGGGGAGUAUGUGUGCAAUAAGACAAGUUCACCCACUCCAAUUCCUACUCCUCAAGAGCACAAGGUCAAAAUAGUUCCUCUGUCACAGCUUCCUGUUCACCUUGCCUUAAACUUCAGCCGUCAGAGUAAUUGUGCUGUUAUGCUAAGCUGUUGCAGUUCUAGACUAAGUGUGCAGGAACUUUCUCAUCUAGCCCUGGAGCUGAGCAGUGUUGUGCUACUUCAUUAUGGAGGGAUAUUCUUACGGUCCCCCAAUUUCAUAAUACUGUUGUAACAUUGUGUGUUUAAUUUUUUCCAUUACAGAUGCAUCCAUGCUUUAGCAAGAUAUCUAAGAAACGUGCACUGCAAUCCUAUGCAGAGUUACUCCAGCAUGAGGCUACUGAAAUAAAUGGGCCUAGUUUUAGUAAUCAUG